GUGGUAGUUUCAGCUGCACAUAUAUUAAAGUUGGAAUGAUGCAGAGAAGAUAGCAUGGCCCUUGUGCAAGGAUGCCACAAUGAGUAAAGCUGUGUGACACUACUCA